rnacentral:rRNA from 1 species
GAGUUUGAUCAUGGCUCAGGAUGAACGCUAGCGGCAGGCCUAACACAUGCAAGUCGAGGGGUAACAGGGAAAAGCUUGCUUUUCCGCUGACGACCGGCGCACGGGUGCGUAACGCGUAUGCAACCUACCUUUUACAGGAGUAUAGCCCAGAGAAAUUUGGAUUAAUCCUCCAUAAUAUCUUAAUCAUGCAUAUGAUAAAGAUUAAAGCUUCGGUGGUAAAAGAUGGGCAUGCGUUUUAUUAGCUAGUAGGUGAGGUAACGGCUCACCUAGGCCACGAUAAAUAGGGGCCCUGAGAGGGGGAUCCCCCACACUGGUACUGAGACACGGACCAGACUCCUACGGGAGGCAGCAGUGAGGAAUAUUGGACAAUGGACGAAAGUCUGAUCCAGCCAUGCCGCGUGCAGGAUGACGGCCCUAUGGGUUGUAAACUGCUUUUAUACAGGAAGAAACACUCCCACGUGUGGGGGCUUGACGGUACUGUACGAAUAAGGAUCGGCUAACUCCGUGCCAGCAGCCGCGGUAAUACGGAGGAUCCAAGCGUUAUCCGGAAUUAUUGGGUUUAAAGGGUCCGCAGGCGGUCUAUUAAGUCAGAGGUGAAAUCUUGCAGCUCAACUGUAAAAUUGCCUUUGAUACUGGUAGACUUGAGUCAUUGUGAAGUGGUUAGAAUGUGUAGUGUAGCGGUGAAAUGCAUAGAUAUUACACAGAAUACCAAUUGCGAAGGCAGAUCACUAACAAUGUACUGACGCUCAUGGACGAAAGCGUGGGGAGCGAACAGGAUUAGAUACCCUGGUAGUCCACGCCGUAAACGAUGGAUACUAACUGUUCGUCCGCCUCGGCGGAUGAGUGGUUAAGCGAAAGUGAUAA